UAGGGAAUCUUCCGCAAUGCGCGAAAGCUUGACGGAGCAACGCCGCGUGAGUGAUGAAGGUCUUCGGAUCGUAAAACUCUGUUAUUAGGGAAGAACAAAUGUGUAAGUAACUAUGCACGUCUUGACGGUACCUAAUCAGAAAGCCACGGCUAACUACGUGCCAGCAGCCGCGGUAAUACGUAGGUGGCAAGCGUUAUCCGGUAUUAUUGGGCGUAAAGCGCGCGUAGGCGGUUUUUUAAGUCUGAUGUGAAAGCCCACGGCUCAACCGGGGAGGGUCAGUGGAAACUGGAAAACUUGAGUGCAGAAGAGGAAAGUGGAGUUCCAUGUGUAGCGGUGAAAUGCGCAGAGAUAUGGAGGAACACCAGUGGCGAAGGCGACUUUCUGGUCUGUAACUGAAGAUGAUGUGCGAAAGCGUGGGGAUCAAACAGG
rnacentral:rRNA from 1 species